rnacentral:rRNA from 1 species
AUUGAACGCUGGCGGAAUGCUUUACACAUGCAAGUCGAACGGCAGCACGGGGGCAACCCUGGUGGCGAGUGGCGAACGGGUGAGUAAUACAUCGGAACGUGCCCAGUCGUGGGGGAUAACGUAGCGAAAGUUACGCUAAUACCGCAUACGAUCUAUGGAUGAAAGCGGGGGACCGUAAGGCCUCGCGCGUUUGGAGCGGCCGAUGUCAGAUUAGGUAGUUGGUGGGGUAAAGGCCCACCAAGCCGACGAUCUGUAGCUGGUCUGAGAGGACGACCAGCCACACUGGGACUGAGACACGGCCCAGACUCCUACGGGAGGCAGCAGUGGGGAAUUUUGGACAAUGGGCGCAAGCCUGAUCCAGCCAUUCCGCGUGCAGGACGAAGGCCUUCGGGUUGUAAACUGCUUUUGUACGGAACGAAAAGGUCCUGGUUAAUACCCGGGGCUCAUGACGGUACCGUAAGAAUAAGCACCGGCUAACUACGUGCCAGCCGCCGCGGUAAAAC